rnacentral:tRNA from 2 species
GGAGAGGUGGGUGAGUGGCUGAAACUAACAGUUUGCUAAACUGUCGUACUGGGUAACUGGUACCGGGGGUUCGAAUCCCCCCCUCUCCGCAA